GUGCCAGCAGCCGCGGUAAGACGUAGGGGGCGAGCGUUGUCCGGAUUUAUUGGGCGUAAAGCGCGCGCAGGCGGUUCGGAUAGUCGGGUGUGAAAAUCCGGGGCUCAACCCCGGACCUGCAUCCGAUACUUCCGGACUGGAGGCAGGUAGGGGAGAGCGGAAUUCCCGGUGUAGCGGUGAAAUGCGCAGAUAUCGGGAAGAACACCGGUGGCGAAGGCGGCUCUCUGGACCUGUCCUGACGCUCAGGCGCGAAAGCUAGGGGAGCGAACAGGAUUAGAAACCCCAGUAGUCC
rnacentral:rRNA from 1 species